UCAUAAUUUUCACACAAGAAUAAUUUGCACAUAGAUAUGGGCUGAGCGAUUUUUAUUUUGUUAUUGUUGACAGUUGGCUUAGAAGAUAACAGAUUUUUUCGUUCAAAAAAAAAACUGAUGAAUCGAUUCUACCAAUAUAUUGUAAUGUACAAACUAUUAUGCAUAAUAAUCAAUGUGGAUUGCAGCUUUAUAUGUUGUCAAAAAAAAAUGUGAAACCUCACCGCCACCACCACCCAUGAAACCAAAAAAAAAAACCAAACUAAUCGCGCCUCUCAUUACCUAUCCAGGUAUUAUUAUGUGCAAAUAUAUUAUGACCAGAAGAAACAACACAGGAAAAUCAACGGCGAUCACGACAAAAAAUAUAAUGAUGAUGAUCAACCAAAUAAUGGCAGCAGGUAUUUGUAUCACAAUCCGGGGGUCUAUUUUAGAACCAAUUGAAACACGAAUAUCGAAAAUAGAAACCAAAGUCAAACAAGGGAAAAAAUCAGUCCGUCCGCCUGUACAAAAAAAACAGUGGAUUAAUAAUAAAAUGUGUCCACCAUCAUCACAUAUAAUAUAUGUCACGCAACAGUCUUUUUCUAAUUUCAAGCGGAGGGAAGGAUUCUGGAAAUGUUUUUCGGCGAAUUCUCUGUACAUUAACUUCCAACUUAUGAUCCAACAACCACACAUUCUCUUGUCAUAUAAUUCGCUAGUCGAUGCCACGCCAAUUUUUUUUUCGCUUGGUAAUAUUAACAACCAAACGAACAAAAUUCCAGCAUUUUAUUCAUUUUUUUCCUAUUCUGUUGUGGUGGGUGGCUAAUAGCCAUCAUAACAAAACAUUUCAACCAGAAAUUAUAGCCCGAAAAAAAUAUUUUAUAUUUCAGUUUGAAUCUAUCAUCGAACGUGAUCGGGCCAUUUUUCUCGGACUAUUCAAAUGGUACACACAUUGUGUGAUGGAUAAUUUUUAGUUUCGUAUUUAUAGUCUGACAAUAUGUAUGAAAUUAUAUUCAAAAAAAUGAUAAUGUUUUUUUUUAAUAGAAACAUUAAAAUCACCAUAACUAUAACUGAAUAACCAUUGUCAUAAUAAAAUUGUAUUUUGAACAAGAUUAUUGGUCAAAACAGAAAUUAUUGCCCCAAUGACAUGUUUUGCCUUGGUUACCACCAAUGUUUCGAAUGGGAUUUAUGUGUGAGAAAAAACAUCCAAAAUUGAACGGCCAAUUCAAAUGAAGUGAAAAAAAUGAAAAAUUCCUUAAAAAAUAACUUGGGCUGUUCGUAACAAAGCAUCUUUUUUUCCGUAUAACAAGCCACAGUGCACAAUUGUGUUCAAUUUUUAUUUCUCUUGUCGGUGUGUGUGUUUGUUUGCAUAAAAAUAAUCAGAAAAUAUUUUUUCUGUGCUUUGUUCGUUCGGCUCGAGUUACUUUGAAAAGGGAAAUGAGCAUCAAAUCAAUUUUAUGAUAAUUAAUAGUUGGUCAAUAAAAUAAUAAUGAAA